ACUCUCAUAGAUGACUUGAUUGCAGGAUGCAUUUGAUUUAUGGGAUACUUAUGGCUUUCCAUUGGACCUAACUCAGUUGAUGGCAGAAGAAAGAGGCUUGGCUGUUGACAUUGAAGGCUUCAAUAUAGCUAUGGAUAAGGCAAGGGAAAGAUCAAGGAGUGCGCAGAAUAAGCAAGCUGGUGGUACUGUAGUCAUGGAUGCUGAUGCUACUGCUGCCUUGCACAAGAAAGGCGUUGCCCCGACAGAUGAUUCAUUUAAGUUUACUUGGUUUGAGGUUUGUGUGUGAAUUUGUUUGGUGGAUUUU